rnacentral:rRNA from 1 species
CAGCCGCCACGGUAAUACGAAGGGUGCAAGCGUUAAUCGGAAUUACUGGGCGUAAAGCGUGCGUAGGCGGUGAGUUAAGUCUGCUGUGAAAUCCCCGGGCUCAACCUGGGAAUGGCAGUGGAUACUGGCUCGCUAGAGUGUGUCAGAGGAUGGUGGAAUUCCCGGUGUAGCGGUGAAAUGCGUAGAGAUCGGGAGGAACAUCAGUGGCGAAGGCGGCCAUCUGGGACAACACUGACGCUGAGGCACGAAAGCGUGGGGAGCAAACAGGAUUAGAUACCCCCGGUCCCUGUCUCUUAUACAC